GACGAACGCNGGCGGCGUGCUUAACACAUGCAAGUCGAACGGAGCGAAUGAAAGCUUGCUUUUAUGAGCUUAGUGGCAAACGGGUGAGUAACACGUAGACAACCUGCCGACAGGAUGGGGACAACAUUCCGAAAGGAAUGCUAAUACCGAAUGAAGUCGAGGGAAGGCAUCUUCCUUCGAUGAAAGAUGGCCUCUGAACAUGCUAUCACCUGUCGAUGGGUCUGCGUCUGAUUAGCUAGUUGGUGAGGUAACGGCUCACCAAGGCGACGAUCAGUAGCCGGUCUGAGAGGAUGAACGGCCACAUUGGGACUGAGACACGGCCCAGACUCCUACGGGAGGCAGCAGUGGGGAAUCUUCCGCAAUGGGCGCAAGCCUGACGGAGCAACGCCGCGUGAGUGAAGGAGGUCUUCGGAUCGUAAAGCUCUGUUGACGGGGACGAACGUGCGAAGGGUGAAUANUCCUUGCAANGACG
rnacentral:rRNA from 1 species